CGUAGGGUGCGAGCGUUAAUCGGAAUUACUGGGCGUAAAGUGUGCGCAGGCGGCGCUGCAAGUCGAGUGUGAAAUCCCCGAGCUUAACUUGGGAAUUGCGCUCGAAACUACGGCGCUGGAGUAUGGCAGAGGAAGGUGGAAUUCCACGUGUAGCGGUGAAAUGCGUAGAGAUGUGGAGGAACACCGAUGGCGAAGGCAGCCUUCUGGGCCAAUACUGACGCUCAUGCACGAAAGCGUGGGGAGCAAACAGGAUUAGAUACCCUGGUAGUCCACGCCCUAAACGAUGAUGACUAGUUGUUGGAGGAGUUAAAUCCUUUAGUAACGCAGCUAACGCGUGAAGUCAUCCGCCUGGGGAGUACGGUCGCAAGAUUA
rnacentral:rRNA from 1 species